rnacentral:rRNA from 1 species
GAUGAACGCUGACAGAAUGCUUAACACAUGCAAGUCGAUGGGGAAGUGGUGCUUGCACCAUGGCAACCAUGGCGGACGGGUGAGUAACGCGUAAGGGACUUACCUGCAGGACUGGGAUAACAGGGGGAAACUCCUGACAAGACCGGAUAAUGUCAUGGAUCUGCCUGGCUUUGUGAUGAAAGGAGACGCCUGCGGAGAGCCUUGCGUCCUAUUAUCUAGUUGGUGAGGUAAUGGCUCAACAAGGCGAAGAUAGGUAGCCGGCGUGAGAGGGUGGACGGCCACAAGGGGACUGAGAUACGGCCCUUACUCCUAGGGGAGGCAGGAGUGGGGAAUAUUGGACAAUGGGGGCAACCCUGAUCCAGAAAUUCUGUGUGCACGAAGAAGGUUUUCGGAUUGUAAAGUGCUUUCAGCAGGGAAGAAGUAAGUGACGGUACCUGCAGAAGAAGCGACGGCUAAAUACGUG